AGACACGUGAGUGUGGAUUGAAUGAAGGAAAUAGCCUGGAGCAGUGUUUCCACUUGUUUGAGCGGGAUGAACCUACAGUCCUACUCGGAGCCCUUACUGCAGGGAGCCUACGGCUGCUGAUGCUGUUCACUGCUGCAGAACCUCUUAGGCGAUUCGAAUCAGAGUAGAAAUGCUUUGAAGGGGGUUCAAAAGGCACACGUUUUUUUUUGGAGGGAUUGGACACCGUUUCUGAGACGAAAAGGAUCCGCAGCGAGUGUCUUACAUCAUUUCAGGAACCAGCAGCCCUCGCUGUGGAUACUGGGAGCUGUAGUUCAUAACAAGAAACAAAUCAGAAGAAGGAUCCCAGUGGUGGACAUGUUGCAUUCCUAAUUCUUCCACUUGUUGCACUUGGUGCAAAGAAGGAUGAAGAUUGCUCCAUGUUGCUCGCUCAGAAGUACCCCAAGCUGAUGGAGCUGAUUUGACCAAAAUGGUAUAUAGCUUUAUGGAGAUUACUCACUUGUAUAGGUCAAAAACUCCAAGCAGUACACUGCCAAAUUUCCAAAGCACCGCUCCACAAAACAGCAUACUUCUGAUUUCAAGGCCACACAUUUCACUAACAGUAGGUUUACCCUAUAGAACUACGCAUUAUUGGAAAGAACAGAUUCAAAUUAAUCCAAAAUGGGUAAAUACGGCUUUGUAGUCCAAACUACCAGGUUGCAAUUCUUUAUUAAAGUUAUAAUUUUUUAAAUAAAAAUUUAUAACAUUUUUGAAA